AUUGAACGCUGGCGGCAGGCCUAACACAUGCAAGUCGAACGGUAACAGGAAGAAGCUUGCUUCUUUGCUGACGAGUGGCGGACGGGUGAGUAAUGUCUGGGAAACUGCCUGAUGGAGGGGGAUAACUACUGGAAACGGUAGCUAAUACCGCAUAACGUCGCAAGACCAAAGAGGGGGACCUUCGGGCCUCUUGCCAUCGGAUGUGCCCAGAUUGGGUUAGCUAGUAGGUGGGGUAACGGCUCACCUAGGCGACGAUCCCUAGCUGGUCUGAGAGGAUGACCAGCCAUACUGGAACUGAGACACGGUCCAGACUCCUACGGGAGGCAGCAGUGGGGAAUAUUGCACAAUGGGCGCAAGCCUGAUGCAGCCAUGCCGCGUGUAUGAAGAAGGCCUUCGGGUUGUAAAGUACUUUCAGCGGGGAGGAAGGGAGUAAAGUUAAUACCUUUGCUCAUUGACGUUACCCGCAGAAGAAGCACCGGCUAACUCCGUG
rnacentral:rRNA from 1 species